rnacentral:rRNA from 1 species
GCAUGAAGCUGGAAUCGCUAGUAAUCGCGGAUCAGAAUGCCGCGGUGAAUACGUUCCCGGGUCUUGUACACACCGCCCGUCACACCAUGGGAGUCGGGAAUGCCCGAAGUCAGUGACCCAACCGAAAGGGGGGAGCUGCCGAAGGCAGGCCUGGUAACUGGGGUGAAGUCGUAACAAGGUAGC